rnacentral:rRNA from 1 species
UUUCUCCUACGGGAGGCAGCAGUGGGGAAUAUUGCACAAUGGGGGAAACCCUGAUGCAGCGACGCCGCGUGAGUGAAGAAGUAUUUCGGUAUGUAAAGCUCUAUCGGCAGGGAAGAUAAUGACGGUACCUGACUAAGAAGCCCCGGCUAACUACGUGCCAGCAGCCGCGGGAAUACGUAGGGGGCAAGCGUUAUCCGGAUUUACUUGGUGUAAAGGGAGCGUAGGGGGCAGGGCAAGUCAGAUGUGAAAACCCGGGG